rnacentral:rRNA from 1 species
UAUCUCUGUAGAGUCUGCAUAUCAAUAAGCGGAGGAAAAGAAACUAACAAGGAUUCCCUUAGUAACGGCGAGUGAAGCGGGAAGAGCUCAAAUUUGAAAUCUUCAAGGUUCUACCUUGACGAAUUGUAGUUUAAAGAAGUGUUUUCUGUUAGAUGAGUAGCAAAAGUUCCUUGGAAGUGGGACAUCAUAGAGGGUGAGAAUCCCGUAUUUGGUUAUUCAUUCUAGCUUUGUGAUACACUUUCAAAGAGUCGGAUUGUUUGGGAAUGCAGUCCAAAAUGGGUGGUAAAUUUCAUCUAAAGCUAAAUAUUGGCGAGAGACCGAUAGCGAACAAGUACCGUGAGGGAAAGAUGAAAAGAACUUUGAAAAGAGAGUUAAACAGUACGUGAAAUUGUCAAAAGGGAAGCGUUUGACACCAGUGUUGUUUUUCCGAAAAUCAAUUACGAAUGGCUUGAUUUUGUGUUGUAUUGACCUUAUCAGCUUUCUUCACUUUUUUCGAGUCUUUCUUAAUGCACUUUUCGGUUAACAAGUCAACAUCAAUUUCUUUUGUUGUAAAAGAGUAUUCGGAAGGUGGCUUUCUUUUCGGAGAAAGUGUUUAUAGCCCUAUACUUCUACAAUCGGAGAGAUUGAGGUCUGCAGCGUAGAUCCUUCGGGGUUAGAUACAUUUGUGCUAAGUUGUAGCUUUUCAUAGACAACUUGUCGACUAUGUUUAGUCAUGCGGCUUACUCGCUUAGUGCUAUUUUACCUACGCUUAGGAUGUUGAACUACUGAGACAUAG